GUCAGUCAGACAGUCAUUCAGUCUCACGUGGAAAGGAAGGGGUUGUGUGCUUUGCCUGUGCCGUUACCUAUAUUACUUGACUUGCUGGGAUUUUGUGAGCGUUUUCAAGAGUUGUGUUUUUCCUCCUCCUCGUCGUCGACCUCUUCUUCCUCCUGUUGCUGGUUGGGGUCCAUUUUCCUAAGCUUCGUCUUCCUCACCAGUCUUCGAAUGUCCUCCUGCAAGAAGUGAGAUAAGAAGCGCUCAGUGUCCUUGUUUACCUCUGUGAUGAGAAGGAAGAGGAGGAUGAGGACGGCGGCGGCUUCGUGAGGAAAUAGAUAGGGGGACGAGGUGAAGAAAAGGCCAGCUGAGUAUCAUGGAAUAAGGUAUUCAUAUUCUACAUCCAUAUUGUAUUAAGGAGUCACCCUCAUGCAAGAACCACAAUGAUGAAUUAAUCACCUUGGUCAGUGAACCAUACACUAUGGACCGGAAACUUGCCCCAGCCAUGUCAUUUAGCAGCGAAUUUUGGAAAAUCAACCGCUGUGGUGCGAAUCGCCAUAACUCCCUUAUUUCUGGGG